GUUGGUGAUUAUAGCAUAGUGAAACACCUCUUCCCAUUCCGAACAGAGAAGUUAAGCACUAUUGCGCUGAUGAUACUGGUUUACCGGGAAAGUAAGUCGUUGCCAACU
rnacentral:rRNA from 1 species